rnacentral:lncRNA from 1 species
GUGGUGACUGACAGCAGCAGGAGCUGAGGGUUUCCACAUGAACUAGCAGACUGCAACUAGUCAUCUCAAAUAAUCGUCUUCCUGAAGACAGCCAUCAGGCUUCCGCAGCUAUUUAGGAUACGAUGUGGCCGGUGCCGGGGCAAACUGGAAGAUUUUCUCUUUGCUGUGAGCUUUAAUCAUUAUCCUUAAUUUGAGAGACUGACGUUUAGUCAUUAUGUCAUGUUCUCAGCACACUCCUGCAAAAGAACUGGCAAAAACAACCCUGGGCCCGGCGCGGCGGCCCUGCGCCCCCUGGCGGCGGGUGCUGGCCAGGCCCCCCGGCGGCCCGGGCCCUAUCUCCCAUCGCUUGGCUUAUUGCAGUGGCCGGCCGCGAUAAGGGCUCCGCGCGGCGCGAUAUUGGCCUCAUUUUCCCCCGCAGACGGCGGGAGCGAUAUGAAGCCUCUCGCCGCGGCCCGCAUCCUCCCCGCCCUUUUUCAUUUCCUCUGCCCGCGUGCAAAUCACACCACUCUCUCUCUCACCCGAGCCGAGCGGGGCCGCGACGAGUGAGACAGAAAGAGUGAGGGGAAAACACCUAGUGAAAAAUCGAGGGGGAAAAGAACGAGGGAAAAGUCCUAGAGAG